AAGAAGAGGCUUCCUCCUGUGCUCGUUCUGGGAAGCCCUCCUCAGAAACCUGAGAGACCUCCAAAUGUUGACAUUCAUCAGUUUAGAAGGAACAGAAAAGCUUUGAAUGACGGACCAAGGAUGAAGAUACCACAUCAUGUUGCUCCUUCACCUACCCCUCCACCUCUACAUUUGAAGCCACCACCCAACCUUGCAGCUAUUUUGAUGCAACAAUCAGAGAGAUUUAUAAAACAUCAAAAAAGAAAUAGAGAAGGGGACACAAACCAUGGUGAAGUCACAGAUGAGAAACAGGCAGAACCAAAAGGAACCAUAAACUCAGAGGAAAUGAAAAGACGAGCCAAGAAAGAGGAGAAAAAAAAACUGAAACAACAGGAAGCCAAAGAGCAGAGGCACAAAGACACAAUGAUGGUGGUCAAGAUGAAAGGACCUGCUCCUCUAGUCAAGAGGGGAAAGGCACAUCUUGAUUUUAAAAGAGCAAAACCUGACUUCUCUCUGGAUAAAGG